GGCCCAGUGGCGUAAUGGUAACGCGUCUGAUUCCAGUCCAGAAGAUUAUCCGUUCAAUUCGGGUCUGGGUCA
rnacentral:tRNA from 2 species